CAGAUGACGCGCUCGAUCGGGACAAUCUUGCGCGCGAUGAGACUUGAGGAUUCCAGAUCAGCGAUGCGAAGCGUGACAUCGAACCCGCCCUGCACCGGAUCGACCUGUUCAUCGCUCAGAACCANNNNNNNUGAAGUUCGGGAUUCGCCUCCAUGAAGUCGGCGAUCGCAGGGCCAAGCUGCAACGUCCCGAACGACAUCGGCGCAUUGACGCGAAGAAGUCCUCGCGGCGUGGAUUGCAGA
rnacentral:misc_RNA from 1 species